rnacentral:rRNA from 1 species
GUAGGUGGCAAGCGUUGUCCGGAAUUAUUGGGCGUAAAGCGCGCGCAGGCGGUUCUUUAAGUCUGAUGUGAAAGCCCACGGGCUCAACCGUGGAGGGUCAUUGGAAACUGGAGAACUUGAGUACAGAAGAGGAAAGCGGAAUUCCACGUGUAGCGGUGAAAUGCGUAGAGAUGUGGAGGAACACCAGUGGCGAAGGCGGCUUUCUGGUCUGUAACUGACGCUGAGGCGCGAAAGCGUGGGGAGCAAACAGGAUUAGAUACCCUGGUAGUCCACGCCGUAAACGAUGAGUGCUAGGUGUUAGGGGGUUUCCGCCCCUUAGUGCUGCAGCUAACGCAUUAAGCACUCCGCCUGGGGAGUACGGCCGCAAAGGCUG